GACGAACGCUGGCGGCGUGCCUAAUACAUGCAAGUCGAGCGAAGCGGCGGAUGGGUGAGUAACGCGUGGGUAACCUGCCCUUAAGUCUGGGAUACCAUUUGGAAACAGAUGCUAAUACCGGAUCCUAAAGGAUGGACGUGCGAUGCAUUAGCUAGUUGGUAAGGUAACGGCUUACCAAGGCGAUGAUGCAUAGCCGGGUUGAGAGACUGAUCGGCCACAUUGGGACUGAGACACGGACCAAACUCCUACGGGAGGCAGCAGUAGGGAAUCUUGCACAAUGGACGAAAGUCUGAUGUAGCCAUGCCGCGUGAGUGAAGAAGGUUUUCGGAUCGUAAAGCUCUUUUGUUGGUGAAGCGGUAAUCAACCAGAAAGUAACGGCUAACUACGUGCCAGCCGCCGCGGUAAUUC
rnacentral:rRNA from 1 species